UACAGAGGGUGCGAGCGUUGUCCGGAAUCACUGGGCGUAAAGGGCGCGUAGGUGGCUGGGUAAGUGUGCGGUGAAAGUCCGGGGCUCAACCCCGGAUCGGCCGUGCAGACUGCCUGGCUUGAGCAUAGUAGAGGCAGGUGGAAUUCCGGGUGUAGCGGUGGAAUGCGUAGAGAUCCGGAAGAACACCGGUGGCGAAGGCGGCCUGCUGGGCUAUUGCUGACACUGAGGCGCGACAGCGUGGGGAGCAAACAGG
rnacentral:rRNA from 1 species